rnacentral:rRNA from 1 species
UACGUAGGGUGCAGGCGUUAAUCGGAAUUACUGGGCGUAAAGCGUGCGCAGGCGGUCUUUUAAGUCAGAUGUGAAAUCCCCGGGCUUAACCUAGGAAGUGCAUUCGAAACUGCCAAGCUUGAGUUCUGGAGAGGAAGGCGGAAUUCUCGGUGUAGAGGUGAAAUUCGUAGAAUAUCGAGAGGAACACCGGUGGCGAAGGCGGCCUU